rnacentral:lncRNA from 1 species
UCAAAUCACUUUGUUCUCAGUCAACAUCAGUUNNNNNNNNNNUCAGUUCAUGUAAAGUAAGUCAACCAUAUUGUGCUGAAAAGAAGCCAAGUUUGUUUUAACUUUUAUUUUUACUAUAGUUUAUAAAGCAGGCACAGUUAUCUACAAUUUUAGAAGAGUAGCUAUGAAAAAAUUUUAAACAACUAUGAAGAAAUCAUGUCACUUAAGGACAGGGAAAUGUUCUAAGAAAUUCGUUAGGCAAUUUCAUUGUUGUGUGAACAUCACAGGGAGUACUUAAACCUACGUGGUAUAGCCUACUGCACACCUGCUCAAUUAAAUUGGCUAGAGUACUGUAAAGCUUUAUAUAAAAUAAGUUAUUUUUGGAAAAUAAGUUAUUUCUUGGAAAUAAGUUAUUUCUUUGGGAAAUGAAGUGCUUCAUAACUAACUUUGCCUGAUAA